GGUCAAGUUAUUAAGGGUGCAGGGCGGAUGCCUUGGCACUAGGAGCCGAUGAAGGACGUGAUAAGCUGCGAUAAGCUUCGGGGAGUUGCACGUAAACUUUGAUCCGAAGAUUUCCGAAUGAGGAAACUCACUUAGAGUAAUGUCUAAGUAUCAUUAAGUGAAUACAUAGCUUAAUGAGGGGAACUCAGGGAACUGAAACAUCUAAGUACCUGAAGGAAGAGAAAGAAAUUCGAUUCCGUAAGUAGCGGCGAGCGAACGCGGAUUAGCCCAAA
rnacentral:rRNA from 1 species